AUCGGGAUGACGUUGGAAAUUCGCACACUUUCUGACCACGACGUAUUACCGCCGUAGUUGCUGAGG
rnacentral:snoRNA from 1 species